CUUCACUAAUGAAUGCACCAAGCAUUCUUUCUUUUAAUUGCGAUAGAAAAAUAUCUUUACAAACUACACUUUGGUUUAACCAAACAUAAUUAAAUCCAUAUCUAAACAAAAUAUCUCUAAUUUUACAACACCAGUUUUGUUUAUCGUUCUUUUUAAUAAAACUUCUGUCAUACAUCUCAUCAUAGCAAUUCUUUAAUAUACAAUUUUCUGUACUCAAAAUUUUUAACCAGUAUUUGACCAUUCUAUACUGCCUUUCAAUGUACAUUGGCAAUCUACCUAAUUCACAAUAAAUCAUAUUAGUUACAGCACUCAUUUUGACUUUAAGAAUACGUUUUAAAAAA
rnacentral:lncRNA from 1 species